rnacentral:lncRNA from 1 species
UUGGCGCCGGAGAAGAUGAGGACCAUGAGUGCCGCGGUGACCAGGGCGAAUCUCCGGUUGUCCAUGCAGAUCGGCCGGGAGGUGGGGAAGAGAAGGCCGUCCACGUUGAGGCGCAGGGCAAAGAACACGAUUGGGAACACGAGCAUGAGGUGCGCCACGUAGCUGACCCGGACCACGUCGUUGAGGAAGGAGCCGUAGGCGAUCCCCAGGUCAGAGUCAAAGUUGGCCAGCACAUCGUCGAGGGUCCCGUCCCCAAAGAGCAGGAACGCAAAGAAGCUCGUGGCGAUGUACACCGCCGAGCACAGUCCCAGCGACGUGCGGACGAUGGGCUUGAUCUGGCUUGAGUCU